rnacentral:lncRNA from 1 species
CAAUUGCCAUAUGCCGAAUUAUUAGCAGUGAAUCUGCCAAAAUCUUGUUGUUUGCUUUUCCAUUCAGUUUCAAGCAGUUAGUAAACCCAAAAUAAAUUGGUUGUGACUCCAGACAUCCGGGUGCCCAUUGACGAAGGUCAGGAGAGGGUUUGGAUAGCUUUUCGAGUACGGAUGCAUCCAGUUCUUGUAGACAUGACGGAAUCUCUGGCAAAGAUUGAAGCCGGUUGCAGUUCCUUGCAUUUAGUGAUUGUAGACACAAUGAAAGUUCUGGUAAUGACCGAAGCAUGUUACAAUCCCCCAAGUAAAGAUAUUUUAGACACAAUGGAAGUUCUGGUAUUGACCGAAGCAUGUUACAACCCGUCAAGGCAAGAGAUUCUAGACACAAUGGAAGUGCUGGUAAUGACUGAAGUAUCUUACAAUCCAUCAAGUCAAGAGAUUUUAGGCACAAUGGAAGUUCUGGUAAUGACUGAAGCAUCUUACAAUCCUUCAGGUCCAGAGAACUCAGCUGCGACAGUUGCUUGAUACUUGCAGGUAAACUCUCAAAGUUAUUUCCACUUAGAUGCAAGCCUGUCAGUGAGGAUAGACAGGCAAUCUCUUGUGGAAUUUCCAUUACAGCACAGUCAAUUAUACUUAGAAGUCCCAAAGAAGAUAAACCUAAUAAUAAUGAUCGAGGCAAUGAUACCAAACCUUUGCAUCUAGAGAAGUCAAGAAUUCUAAGUGCGUUUGAAUCUGCAACAGAGGAUGGUAGUUGACUAAUAGCUGAUCCUUCUGCUGAGAUGCAAUCCAAAGAUUCUAAAUUGCCAAUGUUAUCCGGCAACUUAUCAAGUUUAGAGCAAUCAUCUACGAACAAUACUUCAAGCCCCGGUAGAUUUUCAAAUGACGAUGGCAGCUCUGUAAUUGCCGUCCGGCCUAAAUAGAUGCGUUUUAAAUGUUCCAUUUUCUCCAAGAUUUCUGGGAAACGCUCAAGGUUCAAGCAGCCGAAAAGAAAAAGGUCAACCAAAGAUCUCAAUUUACAGAACCUAGUUGAAAUCCUCUUCAGCCGUUUGCAAUCCGCCAAAUCCAACACUACAAGAUCGGUUAGGCACUCUAUUGAUGAUGGAACUUCUUCUAUUGCAGACUGGUCUAUGUAUAACCGUGUAAUUUUCCCAGAAAUCUGUGGAAACUCUACGAGAUUAACACAAUAGGAGAAAUUAAUAGUUACUGGACAAACAAAAUGAAGAUUGCUUGGAAAAGACCUAAGACUUUUGCAGCCCUUAAAAGACAAAGCACUGAGAUACUUGAAAUUCUGGAUAGAUGAGGGAACACAAGCCUUUUCUCCUUCCCAAGGUUGCUCAACUUUACUAAAACGCAAAUUCAGUUCAACAAGGUUCUUUGGCUUGAAAUUUGAUGGCAGUGUCCUUAAUGGAUAUGUGUCCCAAUGAAUAUAUCUCAAUUUUUUAGGAAGAUAAUCUAGGCCAUUUGGAAGCUGCACUUUAGAGUAUGAAAGUUGCUCUUCAGUGCUCAUACUUGGAAGCUUUUUAAUCUCAUAAAACUUAGGUACAUAAAAUUUGAGCAAUCUCAUACUAGACAUAUUUUUGAAGGCUCCGGGGUCUAAAUUGAUGCCUUUUAUUUUGGACAAAUCCAGAAAUAUGCCUUCAAUUGCAUCGGUCCCCUUAUUAAAAAAAAAACAAAGAAUGAGUAAGCCUAAAACAGAAAAGAAACAUUCGUAAAUUUUAUUAACUAAGAGGUCCUUAAACAAAAAAAAUUUUUGCAAUCUUUGAUUUUAUUUUUUUUAAUAUAUUAAAUAUCUAUAUGCGAGAAAAGAAAAUUUUGGGGACCAUUGCAAAAUUAAACUAACCGAAAAAAAAAAUUCAAAAUUUCUCUAAUUUACAAACCUGUUAUCUUAAUAUCUAGCAGUUGAGAAGACAGGGCUUAUUUGAUUGGUAUAAGAUUUCAAUUUUUUUUUUAGUCCAUAGAAUCCAAAAUGUUAGUUCAAAAUUAGGCAAAAAAAUGAAAGUCAUUUUUUUUUAACUAGCUGUAAUUGUAUACAAGUCAAAUUGAGAUAUGACCCUUUUCGAAAGGAUUUAACCAUCUUACAGCCUCCUUAAGGUAUAUUUAAGCUAAAAGGAGUUAUUGGAGGCAGAACUAGGUGGGCCAAUCAGUCCAUUUUAUUAGCAAUUGUUUAAAAAAAAUUAUACUCUAAAACACACUUACUUUUUUUAAAAAAAAUAUAAAUAUAUUGAAGUAGAACCAGGUGGGCCAAUCCUCAUGGCACUCACUUUGUUCUGACACUCAUCACUAAAUUUGAAGAAAAAUAAAAUUAUACUCUUCACACUCUUAUUCAACAUUCCAAUUUUGAAAAAAUCUGGAGUUUUUUUUUUAAAUUUAAAAUUUGAAGACUUGUUCUCUUGACACCCUUAGUCUUUAAUUUUAUCUAAUUAUGGUUUUUAUGAUUUUGGUUGUUUUGUUCAUAAAAAUGCUUUUACUAAAGGAUGUUCUGGUAAUAAUAAAAUUUAUAAAAAAAAGCAUGGGUGUACUGGUAUGGUUUGAAAAAUAUGAGUGCAUAACUCUAAACAAAUAAAAGAUAUAUAAAAAUAAAUGGAGGAUUCUUACCAUAUUAUGCUUUAGUACGCGGCGGAUUUCCUUGGGAUCCCACAACCUGCUGCGUUUGCCUGGCUCUUUCUCAGAUUCUUGGCGAACAAUCUGUCGCCCCAUUUCUUGCAAUAAAUCAUGCAUUUGCAAGCAAUUACCUGAUACUGAUAUGAGUGACUUAUCAAUAAGGACAUUCACGUCAUUCAGUCCAUAAGACUGAGAAUCAUCAAGUAUCCUUAACACAAAAUCUUUAUCCUCUCCCUCAAAGAAACAAGCAAUAUCUAGAAAUACACUCUUGACAUUGGGCGUUAAUUCAUUAAAACUAAUCUUUAAUAUAUCAUAAAUAUUAUGAAUAUCAGAUUCACAAAUCCGAUUUAAGUCGUCCAAUACGUUUCCCCAAUGGCUUUUCCUCUUGAGGGAGGAACCCAACACUUUAAGAACUAAUGGAUUGCCAUCAGCAUACUUUACAACUCUCCGUGAGUCACGUUUGAAAUCUUCAGGACAAUGAUUUUCUUUAAAAGCGAAGUUACAAAAAUGCUCGAAAGCCGCUUCAAAUUCCAAUCCAUUAACCCUAUAUAUUUUCUCCACUGGAAACGUCUCGAGGACAUGUUUAUUCCUAGUGGUUAUGACAAUUCUACUUCCUGGACCAUACUGAUCAAGCCCUCCAAUCAAACCCUCUAAUUGUCCAUCUUUACUCACAUCAUCAAGCACAAUCAACACCUUCAUGCGUCGGACCCUCUCUUUAGUAAAUUGUGGAAUAUUGGGACCAUCUACUUCAAGUUUUUCUCUUAAUAUCCUUGAAAGAAUUUGCUUUUGUAGAUCUUCUAAUCCAUCCCCUCGUUCUAUAUUUCUCCUAACAUCUGACAUAAAGCAGCUACCUUCAAACUCUCUGGAGAAUUGAUUGAAAAUAGCUGUGGCUAGGGUGGUUUUGCCUAUACCACCCAUGCCCCAAAUUCCAACAAUUUGGACAGUAUCCAACAAAUCCAUGCACAGAAAUUGUUUAAUCUGCUCAAUUCGUGAAUUUAAUCCAACAAUUCCAUUGGAUGAGUCCGUUGGGACUGUUAUAUUUUCCAACUUCUUCAAAACAUCUUCGACAAUUUUGUUUACAAGUUGCGCAUCAUGCCUAAUAUGAAGGUGCAAAGAUGCAAAAACAUUGAGUCAAAUCGGGCCAACACAGAAACAGAGAGAAGAUGAAUUAGGAAAGAGAGUUACCUGAAUUUCGUGGAUUCAUGGCCGGCUAGAUGGGAUGUUUCUGUCAGUGCAUCCCUCCACUUCUGAACCAUUUCUGGUUUAUCUUUGAACUGUUUUUUGAGCUCAUCAAAACGGUCUCCAAAAAUUCCAGCUUGAUGCCGAACAUCGGACGGACUUACGCUAUAGAAAACUGGAAUAACGAUUUGGCCGUUUGUGUUCUUGCAUUCAAGAAUCUUGACAAGUUCAUUCAGGCACCAUUUUGAAGAAGCGUAGUCCUUUGAGAAAAUGACGACCGAAAUUUUUGAACCUUCGAUUGCGUUCAAAAGAGCAGGUGAAAUCUCAUCUCCUCGCUUAAGCUCUUCAUCAUCAAUAAACGUUUUGAUUUUCGUUCUUUCAUUCAAAUUAUAAUAGAGAUGGCAUGUAAAGCUUACGCGAGUGUCCUCUCCUCUGAAACUGAGGAAUACAUCAUAAUUGCAAGAAGAAGAAGAAGCCAUGAAGGAAAUUUUAGAAAUUUGGUGACAGAAACAGAGAAUUAAUCUUGAGAGAGGAGAUGUAAGAAUGAACAUGUGUGAAUAUUCUUGCAAGCACACAGUAAAUAAUUGAAUGGCUUGAGCUUUCUUACUUUCCUGGAAAUUUCUUGGAGCUUUCGUAUACAUGAUUUGUCAAGUCAAGAAACAUAGUCAUGAUACGUUUACACAUAAAUGACAAAAGCCAUUUCAUUUCUCUUUUACAUGUUAUUAAUUUUUGUAACACGGGGUGGCAACUUAUGCAUAAUCAAGUAAAGCAAAAGGGUUUCAAAUUAUGGUGGCAAAACGUGAAGUACGAUGCCAACUGAAUAAUUCCUUCUAUAAAACGAAAAAUAAUCACAGAAAAAGGAAUCUCUUAUAAAAUGUUUGUGUAUUUUUUAUAAGGUUUGAAACUUUAGGUGGUCGGUAGAUGAUUUCUUAAUUGAAUAAUAUAUAAAAAGCUAAUUAUUUAUAAUUUUAAAUAAUCCGGAUUGGUAUGUUAGAAAUUUAUCUCUUUGAUUUUUGAGAAUUUUUCAUAAUGAAAUGUGAAUAUAAUGUUAAUAUUUAAAGUAACACAUCUCAAUUGUUGAAAUUAUUUUUCUAUUAAAUCCAACGUUGAUGAAUUAAAGUCAGAAAAGGACAAAAUUAGUGGUGACUUGCAAUAAUUGCAAGGUAGCUGGACCCUUGAAAAUGUGUGAAAGUAAAUAAUUGAAUGCACAGAGCUCGCUUUCUUACUUUCGUUCCGGUUUCCUGGAAAUUUCUUGGAGCUUUCAUAUACAGGAUUUGCCAUGUUAAGAAACAGGGUCAUGAUAAUGGGGCAAACAUUUGAUUGAACCAAUAAAGGAAGGGAAAGCAAAGUAAGGAAAAUUAGAAAUUAUAAGAAGCUAAAGAAACAUCCAACGUCAUUACCUCACUGUUACAAUUUUUAUUGAGAUUUGAGCAAACACUUACCUAAACAUUACCUCCGCCUGUAAAUUUAUAACUUUUGAAAAUUAUGAGAUCUUAGAUUGCGAGAUAUUAAAAUCGAAUUAAAAUUUAUAAUUUCAAUAUUAUUAUUCUUUUAAAAAGAAAUUUGAGAUAACUGAGUGAUUGAUAAUAUAGGAGAACUUGUCCACGGUAGGCCAAAAGUCUAGGCAAGCACAUGCAUACGCAGAAAUGUGAUGGAUUCAGAAAGAAAUUAAAGAAAAGUCAUCUAUUGCAAGUGCAAUUAUAGAACAACUUUCCAAAAUAAAUAGAAAAAAAAGAUAUAAAUCUGCAGCCCGUCGAUGUAAGAGUCAAGCACAUGAAAGCAGGAAGCUAUAUAUGACAAGAAAUCAAAGUAAUGUGAAGGAACGUGAUGAAGAAAUUGCAGGCCAGCACAAAAACACCCAUACCCCUGAUUUGUUUAGAUGUAUACGAAGACCUUAAGGUUUGGUAAAAGAAAAUUGAAUUUAUAUUGUACUAUAAUAUAAUUUUUUAAAACCAUCAAUGAUAAAAUCUUCAUACUUUUUUCCAUCCUUUGGAUCAAUAAGUACAAAUUUCUCAUCUAAAUCUUAAUACUUUUUACAAAUGACUUUUGUGCCACAGAAUUUUUUUUUUUUUUUUGCCGAAAAACAAAACAAAUUCAUAAACAACAUUGUAUUUCACCAAUUAACAGUGCAAGUGUCAUUAUAGUUUCCACAUAUUAGUUCUGUUUUCGUUAGUUUCAUUUUCUUUCUGUUAUGUAACUGAUGUUUCAUUGCUAUAAAAUUAAUUGUCUGUUUCUCUUCACAACUGUUAUUUUGAAUGAUUUUUUCUGAAUUUUAUAAAGAAUUUGUAUAUGACAGGAAAUGAAGCAGAGUGCGAGCAACUUGUAUGGAUUCCUAAAAGGUCUGGUCAGAGUGUUCCUUUCAAUGCAUACAUCUGGCGGCGAGGGACUAUUCCAAUAUGGUGGGGUGCAGAAUUAAAGCUUACUGCUGCUGAAGCAGAAAUUUAUGUUGCAGAUCGGGAUCCGUAUAAAGGAAGUCUGCAGUAUUAUCAGAGGUUGAGUAAUCGAUAUGAUGCUCGAAACUUUGACUUAGCUGUUGGGGAAAAUCAGAAGAAAAAGCCUUUUAUUCCAAUUGUAUGCAUUAACUUGCUUAGGAAUGCGGAAGGGAAAUCAGAAUCUAUUUUAGUUCAGCAUUUUGAGGAAUCUUUGAACUAUGUCAGAUCAACUGGAAAACUUCUUUAUACUCGAAUAAUUUUAAUAAAUUAUGACUGGCAUGCCAGUACAAAAUUAAAAGGUGAACAACUUACAAUUGAAGGAUUAUGGAAGCAUCUAAAAGCACCCACUCAGGCCGUAGGCAUUUCUGAAGGGGACUAUUUGCCAUCACGGGAACGACUUAAUGAUUGCCGAGGUGAAGUCAUCUGCAAUGAUGACUUUGUGGGUGCCUUUUGCUUAAGAUCCCAUCAGAAUGGAGUGAUACGCUUUAACUGUGCAGACUCUCUUGAUCGGACCAAUGCUGCUAGUUAUUUUGGUGCUCUGCAAGUAUUUGUGGAGCAAUGUAGGCGGCUUGGGGUCUCCCUUGACAGUGAUUUUGCAUAUGGCUAUCAGUCAGCUAAUAACUAUGGUGGAUAUACUGCUCCUUUGCCACGAGGAUGGGAGAAACGAGCUGAUGCAGUGACAGGAAAAACAUAUUAUAUCGAUCACAACACUAGGACCACAACAUGGAUUCAUCCAUGCCCAGACAAACCUUGGAAGAGAUUUGAUAUGACAUUUGAGGAGUUCAAGCAAUCAACAAUUUUAUCACCAGUGUCUCAGCUAGCAGAUCUUUUUCUGCUUUCUGGUGAUAUCCAUGCAACCCUUUAUACUGGUUCAAAAGCAAUGCAUAGCCAAAUUCUUAAUAUAUUCAAUGAAGAACCAGGAAAGUUCAAACAAUUUUCUGCAGCACAAAAUAUGAAAAUUACUCUGCAGAGAAGAUACAAAAAUGCAGUUGUCGAUAGCUCUCGUCAGAAACAGCUGGAGAUGUUUCUUGGAUUUAGGCUGUUCAGUUCAUUUUUUUGUGGUAGAAAUGUCGUCAUUUUAAAUUUAGUGUAUUUUCAAAAAGCUUAUUUUCUCAGAAUAUAAAAAAUAAAAAAAUAAAAAAAGAAUUCUUACAUGUUUCAUCAGCAUGAUUAAAAUCGAAGAAGAAAGCGAGACAUAAUGUCUCUGACAUAAUAAAAUUACAAAAAUUUCAAGGAAAAAAAAGAAGUUAAAACAUGUAAUCUUCAGAAGCAUAUAAUAAAAGAGCACUUCCACAAAUUACUACAAUUUCAUGCAGUAGAGAUUGAAGAGUUGAAUUCCACUUAUAGACACCGACCUCUUGUUUUGUCUAAUGUUAAAAUUACAACCUCUUGCUUUGACUUAUUAGCAGGUUUCAAAAGUAAUAAGGAAUACAUAGAUAAAACAUCAUCUUAAACAAAUCACAAUCUAGAAUUAGAGCAUUUUCGACAUACCUAAGGACCACGAAUACGUGAAAACGGGUGACUUAUUUGUUAAGAAGUGUUGAUUUGAUCGGCUCUGCAAAUUCUCUUGGGACUCGGUUCCAAUUCCUCUUCAUCCGAAGUUCCACUCGCGCUUGGAAAAUCAUCCAAUUUCCAAACAUCGGUAGCAAAAUUGAGAGUAAAAGUGUUGGCUUUGAUCUCGCUGGGAUUUGCAUAUACUGGACAUACUCCGUAACGUUUUAUCUUGCAAUCCUUUUGGCUUCGGUAACACUUAUUGAAGAACUUAAGUGAGACAGUUGUAUGAUGGUAACCAUCGGGAAAGCCAACAUUCAAGCAAGGUUUAAAACCAAGUAUGACAUGAUCGGAAUCAAGGGAGUAUCUAGUGGGCAAAUCGAAACCCAGAUCAACAUGUUUGGUUUCAGAGAGAGUCUUUAUUUCUAAGUCGAAUUGACGGUAGAAGUAAAAAUCACACAUACAACGAGAAUAAACUUUCUUAAAAUCAAGAACAGCACAAAAAGCAAACCCGAUUAAGUUUCUGCAAAAAGAGUGCGGUGGCAGUUGAAUAUAUAUCGAAGAUCCUGAACUUUGAUUGCUGAACCAGUCAGGAAUUUCGCCCCCAGGUAAAACAAUUAGGGAUCCCCUGAGUUCUGAAAGUUUCUGUGAAAUGACAUUUAAAAAAAGAAACUUGUAAAAUGAAAACCAUGAUUUCAGAUAUAACAAAGAGGGACAGAGUAAACAAGAGAGGGAAUUUGAUACCUCGUUGUUUGCCUUUUCAUAGCCCAGUCUCAGUGAUGCAAUUGCCAUAUGCCGAAUUCUUAGUUGUGAAUCUGUCAAGAUCUUGUUGUUUGCUUUUCCAUUCAGUUUCAAGCAGUUAGUAAACCCAAAAUAAAUUGGUUGUGACUCCAGACAUCCCGGUGCCCAUUGACGAAGGUCAGGAGAGGGUUUCGAUAGCUUUUCGAGUACGGAUGCAUCUAGUUCUUGUAGACAUGACGGAAUCUCUGGCAAAGAUUGGAGCCGGUUGCAGUUCCUUGCAUUUAGUGAUUGUAGACACAAUGAAAGUUCUGGUAAUGACCGAAGCAUGUUACAAUCCUCCAAGUUAAGAUAUUUU